rnacentral:rRNA from 1 species
AAGAUUAAAAUUAUUUUUUUUUUAUUUUUUUUAUUUUUUUAAUAAAAAUAAUUUUAUAAUGAAAUAGUUUUUGUAUUAUUUAAAAAUAAAAUUUUUUAUAUAAAAAUUAAUUAGUAUUGAAGAAGAAUUUUGAAAAAUUUAAAAAUUUAUUUUAAUAAAAGUAGAUUUUUUUUAUUGUACCUUGUGUAUCAGGGUUUUUUAAAUAAAAAAUAUUUAAAAUAUUUUUCUCGAAUUAAAAAGAUCUAUUUUUAUUUAUAAUUUUUAUUGUUGUAAAAAUAUUUUUAAUAAAAAAAUAGAAAUGAAAUGUUAUUCGAUUUUUAAUAUAUCUAGUUUUUUAAUAAAUGAAUUUAAUUCAAAUAUUAUUUUAUAAUAAUUAUUUUUUAAUAAAAAUUAAUUUAAUAUUAAGAUUUUAAGGGAUAAGCUUUAAAAUUUAUAUUUAUAAUAUUUAAAAUUUUAUUAAAUUUUUAUAAGCUUAGAAAUAGUUAUUAUUUUAAUAAUGUUAUAAUUUUUUUUUAUUUAAUUAUAAUUUAAUUUAAAAAUUAUAUUUAAUAAUUUAUUAAAAUAAUUUAUUUAAUUAAUUUUUAAAUUUAAUAAUGAUAAAAUUAGUAAAUUUAAUUUUGUUUAAAAAAUGAAUUUUUUUAAAAUUUAAUUUAAGGAAUUCGGCAAAAUAUUUUAUACUCACCUGUUUAACAAAAACAUGUCUUUUUGAAUUUUAAUUUAAAGUCUAAUCUGCUCUAUGAUUAAUUUAUUAAAUGGCCGCAGUAUUUUGACUGUGCAAAGGUAGCAUAAUAAUUAGUCUUUUAAUUGAAGGCUGGUAUGAAUGAUUGAAUGAAGUAUAAACUGUCUUUAAUUAAUUUUAUUUAAUUUAAUUUUUAAGUUAAAAAGCUUAAAUUUUUUUAAUGGACGAGAAGACCCUAUAGAGUUUUAUAAAAAAAUAAAUUUUUUUAUUUAAUUUAUUUAAAAAUUUGUUUUUUUAUUUUAUUGGGGCGAUAGAAAAAUUUAAUAAACUUUUUUAUAUUUUUUACAUUAAUUUAUGAAUUUUUGAUCCUUAAUUAAAGAUUAUUAGAUUAAAUUACCUUAGGGAUAACAGCGUUAUUUUAUUUAAAGUUCUUAUUAAUAAUAAAGAUUGCGACCUCGAUGUUGGAUUAAAAUUAAUUUUAGGUGAAGAAGCUUAAAAUUUUAAGUCUGUUCGACUUUUAAAAUUUUACAUGAUCUGAGUUCAAACCGGUGUAAGCCAGGUUGGUUUCUAUCCUUAAUAUAAAAAAAAUUUUUAGUACGAAAGGACCAAAAUUUUAAAAUAAAUUUUAUAAAAAUGAAUUUUAUUAAUGAUUUUUAAUUA